GGUUAUUGAGGAAUAGGCAAGGCAACUAUUACGCCAGAAAUGGUAGCAAAGGUAUCUGGGAUACGCCGCCCCACCAGUAACC
rnacentral:ncRNA from 1 species